rnacentral:tRNA from 1 species
GAGCAUAGCUCAGCUGGGAGAGCAUCUGCCUUACAAGCAGGAGGUCACAGGUUCGAGCCCUGUUGCUCCC